AUUGAACGCUGGCGGCAUGCCUUACACAUGCAAGUCGAACGGCAGCACGGGGGCAACCCUGGUGGCGAGUGGCGAACGGGUGAGUAAUGCAUCGGAACGUGCCCAGUAGUGGGGGAUAACUAGUCGAAAGAUUAGCUAAUACCGCAUACGACCUAUGGGUGAAAGCGGGGGAUCGCAAGACCUCGCGCUAUUGGAGCGGCCGAUGUCUGAUUAGCUAGUUGGCGGGGUAAAAGCCCACCAAGGCUUCGAUCAGUAGCUGGUCUGAGAGGACGACCAGCCACACUGGGACUGAGACACGGCCCAGACUCCUACGGGAGGCAGCAGUGGGGAAUUUUGGACAAUGGGCGCAAGCCUGAUCCAG
rnacentral:rRNA from 1 species